rnacentral:misc_RNA from 1 species
GAAAAGCUUAAAGAUUAAUGACUAUCCUUCUUCUAACCCGCAUGCAUAUGCUACCUACCUUACGCAAUUCUGCGGGACCCAUCGUGCAAUUUUUACCAAAUUUUGCUGAUCGUUUCGCCGCUCUCCCUCUCCCUAUAUAUUCCCAACAAACUUAUUCACCUUCCUCCUCUCCUCAUUCCCACUGUCUACUCAGUAGGGGAAGCUCCCUCCAAAGG